rnacentral:lncRNA from 10 species
AAUGCCUUAAAGAAAGGACUGAUCUCCCCUGAAGAAGAGAGAAUUCUGCCUCUAGAUUGCUUACAAUUUGAACUGGAACAUCAGCUGUUCUCUAGGUCUUAAGUCUGCUGCUCUAACCUACAAAUUUUGGACAUGCCAAUCUCCACAGUCACAUGGGCCAAUUCCUUAGUUUCUCUGGAGAAUCCUGACUAAUGUAUGCAAUGUCUUUAUUUCAUCCUCAUUCUUAAAGGAUAUUUUCAUCAGCAACACCACACCCUCCUGAUCACCAUAGCUUUAUGAUCUGAGCUUUCAUCUGGUAUCAUUUCCUUUCCGUCUGAAGAACUUGCUUUCCUUGCAACAACAAGAAACAAAUUUAUUAGCUAACCUAACCACUAAUGACGCAAGAGACAAUUCUAAGGACUUUCAAAACAGCAAAGUAGGAGCAGCUGCUACCUCUAGGGAUGAGGGAGAAACUCAAAAAUGCAUACAAAAACCAUUGCAUGAAAAGUGACUGGAUUUGUACAUAGCGUCAGGAGAUGUGCGUAGUGUCAAAGUAUCUCAUCACACAUUACUUGAUAAUUACAAAUGAGAAAAAUGAACCUUCACAGUGGCAAGACUUGACUUCUACCUCUUUCAAAAAGAUGCAAUUGUCCAAUUAUUGGUGAAAUUGUCAUUUCAUGCUAUUGGCUAUUUGAAAUUCCUCCUCUAAUUUCAGAAUAAAUCACUGAAAUUGACAUCGGCC